GCAGGGGGAGACGGGAACAGCUUUGCAAAGUAUUUCCAAGCCUGCAGGGUUUAUGUCAAGUAACCUUUAAAAGGACAAGCUAUAUGGUCACUACUACUGUCAUGGCAUUGAUCAGGAAGUGAACAACAUGAAGUAUCUUCCAUAAGAAAUAGAAUGAGCACAGCAUACAAAAAACAA